GACGAACGCUGGCGGCGUGCCUAACACAUGCAAGUCGAACGAGAUCCAUGGGAGCUUGCUCCCGGAAGAUCUAGUGGCGAACGGGUGAGUAACACGUGAGAAACCUGCCCUGGAGUGGGGAAUAACUCGGGGAAACUCGAGCUAAUACCGCAUACCCUCGGAUGGUCGCAUGGCCGACCGAGGAAAGAUUUAUCGCUCUAGGGAGGUCUCGCGGCCUAUCAGCUAGUUGGUGGGUAACGCCUACCAAGGCAACGACGGGUAGCUGGUUUGAGAGAACGAUCAGCCACACUGGGACUGAGACACGGCCCAGACUCCUACGGGAGGCAGCAGUGGGGAAUCUUGCGCAAUGGGCGAAAGCCUGACGCAGCAACGCCGCGUGCGGGAUGACGGCCUUCGUGGUUGUAAACCGCUUUCAGCAGGACGAAAUGACGGUACCUGCAGAAGAAGCCCCGGCUAACU
rnacentral:rRNA from 1 species